rnacentral:misc_RNA from 1 species
GUGAAUCAUCAAAUCUUUGAACGCAUAUUGCACUCUCUGGUAUUCCGGAGAGUAUGCCUGUUUGAGGGUAAUUAAAAAGAAUCUUGAACCAAUUUUUUUUGGUCAAAUUAAAUGAGUUCUCCGCGUUUAUAGCGGUAGCUUGAAAUAAAUGGUCAAUUCUCAUUUUAUUCUGGUCGCGUAAUAAUAUUAGUUCUCGAAAUCUUCAUUAUGAGACUAUCAAGUUUUGAUGCAUACAAAUUUGGGUUGUAUGCGAUCAAUGCAAAGAUUUUGAACAUUACCUCAAAUC